rnacentral:rRNA from 1 species
AACAGUAUCUGCAGUCGAGAUUCCUACGGGAGGCAGCAGCUAAGAAUCUUCCGCAAUGGGCGAAAGCCUGACGGAGCGACGCCGCGUGGACGAAGAAGGCCGGAAGGUUGUAAAGUCCUUUUCCUGGGGGAGAAUAAUGCGGGGAGGGAAUGCCCUGCAGAUGACGUGAACCAGGGAAUAAGCCCCGGCUAAUUACGUGCCAGCAGCCGCGGUAACACGUAAGGGGCGAGCGUUGUUCGGAUUUAUUGGGCGUAAAGGGCGUGUAGGCGGUAGUGCAAGUCUGGUGUGAAAGGCCCCGGCUCAACCGGGGAAGCGCGCUGGAAACUGUGCUGCUAGAGUUUAGGAGGGGAAGCUGGAAUUCCUGGUGUAGGGGUGAAAUCUGUAGAGAUCAGGAAGAACACCGGAGGCGAAGGCGAGCUUCUGGCCAUAGACUGACGCUGAGGCGCGAAAGCGUGGGGAGCAAACAGGAUUAGAUACCCUGGUAGUCCACGCUGUAAACGAUGUGCACUAGGUGUUGGGGGUAUGAACUCUCGGUGCCGGAGCUAACGCGUUAAGUGCACCGCCUGGGGAGUACGCCGGCAACGGUAAAACUCAAAGGAAUUGACGG